GUGGGAGCGGGGCCGGGAGUGCCAGCAGCGCCGGGGGCAGGUUGUUCUACUUGUUCACCAGUGACUGGCUUCUCUUCCUUCUUGCAUUUUAUCCCAAAGAAACUGAAGAGUUUCAUUAGCAUUAGAUCAACAAUCUCCUCUUCUUCUGAAGCCUGAAAUAAUAGCAAGUAAGUUACUCAGAGGUGCACACCCAAAGUGCAUUCAGUCUUUGCUGAAGCCUGAGAAAGUUGCAUGACAAAAUCUCUACUUGAGGUGAAGUAGGCCAACUUUCAGCAGAGCAUGAGUGACUGCCAAGCAGAACAUCAUGCCGAUAUUUUUAUCCAGACAGAAGCUCCAGAUGAGUAUGGACGCUACAGAAAUUUUGGCUGUGAAUUCUUAUGGAAAUCCUUCUACAGGAGCCUGAAGUGCACUUGCCAGCUCCCAUACAGCUUGUGGUAUACACAGUGAGACUCUAGAUGGAGUAAAUGAGAAAAACUAAAUAUAUAUUCUGUCUUCUAUCAGCUACAUGCUUUGUUUUCAUCUCCCUUGACUUUAUUUAAAACAUAGAGGAAUUCUGGGCAGUACUGGAGUGCUAAGAUGGAUUUCACACUGCACUAUCAAUCGCUUGAAUGAGUCAGGCACUUACAGUGAGAGUUUUAAAAGGAGCUGUAAAGCCUCAUGCACUUCAGUAGCAGUUUUGGCACUAAUUUCAAUAUAGCCCAGCACAAACCUAAGAGAUUUUUGUUGGAUGUAGUAUGUGAACAGAAGGCUACAAAUCAGAUCUGAACAGGGACUCAUCUGAACAGGAAUGGACAGUGUAAAUCUGGAAAACCUGAAGUGUUCUUUCUGAGCCAAUGUUGCCUUCUUAAGAGCUGGACUGAAUUUACAUGGUUUUCAUCCAUGGUUGAAUACCUGAGUAAGCACUGAGCAAAAAAUGUUAAAAGCAGGAGAGCUUAGAUGAACAAACCUGGUAAUGCUUUUGCUCCUCACUGAAAGCAACCAGAAUCACCGAAAUGAACAGAUUCAGUACCACAAAUGUCAUAAAAAUUAUGCAGGAUCCAAUUAAGAAGGAGCCUAAAAUUGGAUUGUAGUCCAGGACCUGUGUAAUACAUAAGCAGGAUCCUUUGGCACACCCCAGAACAUGAUGCUGGUCAGCAUGGUGCAGAGGAGCAGUGAGAAGCAACAGGACACGCGCUGGGCUCGCGUGAAGGAACUUCGCGGGGAGCGGCUGAAAACCGAGUACCAAAUGUGUCCAUCCUGGAAACCCUUGGA